AAUUAUGUAGUCUAAAAAUAGGACGUUAAAUUGCAAAUUUAAAAGUGAUAAAAAUUAUUUAUAAUUU
rnacentral:tRNA from 2 species